AUUCUCAUCCAGAGCACAGUGCACAAGUACACGUCUCGAAACCCCUACUCGUCUCGAACAUACCUUGUUUUCGCGCACCCUUUCUCCCAUUUUCCCAAACUUCGCCACCCUUUCUCCGCCCAAUUUCUUGCAUUUUUGAACCUCCGACGCUAUCUCGCUUCGGAUCUCACGCUCCUACACACGCUUUUCUCUUCUCGCUUCGCCAAUCAUCGUCGAUUUUCUUACGUUUACGCGUUCGAAUAGGGUUUCGGUGUCGGGUUCUUAAUCCCUGGGUUCUGAUUUUGUUUCUCUAUUUACGUUUCCACGUUCUCUUAGUUUAUAACUUUUCAUUUUCUUAAUCGUGAAUUGAAGAAGCGAAUGAAGAAGGUCGUGGACAAUGAGCAACGUGUUCGAGGGAUACGAACGCCAAUACUGCGAACUCUCAGCGAAUCUUACGAAAAAAUGCACUGCUGCUGGUGCUCUUAAUGGAGGUGAUAAGAACCUACACGAAGCAGCUACUACUUGGACUUGAAUACUUGCACAAAAUUGGAAUCAUGCACAGAGACAUUAAGGGGGCCAAUAUUCUGGUUGAUAAUAAAGGGUGCAUAAAACUUGCAGACUUUGGGGCAUCCAAACAGGUCGUUGAGCUGUUUUAGAUACUUAGUCUUCUUUUGGUAAAUGACUAUGGAAGCACGGCUAAGUAAAUCAGCAAGCAUCAUUUGUAAUUGGUGAAGGGGAGGGUCGGUGUUAAUUUUAAGAUUUCUUGUGACAAAAGGAUCUCCUUUUGGUCUCUUGCAAUCUCAUGUAAAAUGAGGAGCAAACUGGUUUGCUAUGCUAUCAGAUGAUGUUCUUCUCUUGCUAUGGUUGAUCUUGGAGCGGAAAUUGUAGGCACAUUAGAAGCAAGUGUGCUUUUUUUAUUUUAAGUGUUAGUAAAUUAUAGAAAUUUGACUACAAUGUAACUUAGGUUAAUGUUAUAUUUAGAUUUAAUAUAUGGUUUGAUAUACA